rnacentral:SRP_RNA from 1 species
GAUGGGUGUGGUGGCGGGUGCCUGUAAUUCCAGCUACUCGGGAGGCGGAGGCGUGAGACUCGCUUGAACCCGGGAGGCGGAGGUUGCAGUGAGCCGAGACGGCGCCACUGUACUCCAGCCUGGGUGACAGAGCGAGACUACGUCUCCAUUUUUUUAAAAAGGGGGUGAAUUUAAUUGUAUGUGAAUUAUAUCUCAACUUUUUUUUUUUUUUUGAGAUGGAGUCUCGCCCUGUCCCCCCGGCUGGAGUGCAGUGGUGCCAUCUCGGCUCACCGGUGGGCAACCCCUGCCUCCCGGGUUCAAGCGAGUCUCACGCCUCCG